CUCCGGUCCGAACUCCAGAUCGUGACAAUAUGCCUACUUUUUCUUUUCUUUUUCAUCUAUGGUGGCCUUGUAAUAUGGUGUCUCUUUUAGGGUGCAACAUAAACUUGGUUGGAGUUCUGCAGUCUACACUCUAAAAAACGCUGGGUUGUUUUUUCAACCCAAAUGCUGGGUUGAGUCUGUUGUUGGGUUGAUUUAACCCAAUUUGGGUUGAAAAUCGGUCUCGAUCUGUAACCCAGCGGUGCUGGGUUGGGAACGCGGACCUGAAAGAGAGCACGCACGUCACGUCAACUACCUGGGACAUCAGCGAGAGGAGCCGCCAUUGUCUUUAGUUUCUGAGGGGCGAAAAAAAAAAUUUCUGAAGGGCGAAAAAAUUAUUUUAUGAGCGAAAGCCGCGGGGUUAGGAGACGGGCGGAAAAAAAAUUCUGAGGCAAAAGCUGCGGGUUGAAGGACAGAGGAGAAUUUUUUUCUUGCUAACUAACACUUGCUAUGCUAACAAUGCUUAAUAUCUUGCGACUGCAUUGGGGCCAGCAAUUUGUGUGUACUCACUCACACGGAGAUAGGAGUUUUGCUUGCUGCAACGAGAACCAUUUUGUGGAUGAACAAGACGAGAGGAGGUUGUAAAGGAUGAACCUGACAUCAACCAGAUGAUCCAAAGCUGGCCAGUGCUUUUUUGACUGAAAACCAGGUUUGUGGAUGUGUCCUUUAAUGUUUUUUUUUUUCUUAUUUGUUUUACAUACAUGAUGUUC
rnacentral:lncRNA from 1 species